rnacentral:misc_RNA from 1 species
AACGCACGAGACCUGCGGACCUGCGGAGGGAUCAUUAAUGAGAUGCUGCCCCUCGUGGGUAGACCUCCCACCCUCUGUGAACUUACCUUUGUUGCUUUGGCAGGCCCGUCCUCUGGACCGCCGGCUUCGGCUGGCCCGUGCCUGCCAGAGGAUUCCAAACCCUGUCUGUCAGUGUUGUCUGAGUCUAUAUGAAAUCGUUAAAACUUUCAACAAUGGAUCUCUAGAUCGGAAGAGCACACG